AGAGACUCUGCGCCGAAGAUGUCCGGGGCUAAAGUACGGAACCGAAGCUUUGGCAAUUAACAUAAGUUAAUUGGGUAGGGGAGCGUUCCUGCAUGGGAGAAGCCUGACCGGAAGGACAGGUGGACAGGCAGGAAGAGAGAAUGCCGGUAUGAGUAGCGAAAAGAAGGGUGAGAAUCCCUUCCACCGAAAGCCUAAGGGUUCCUGGGCAACGAUCGUCGUCCCAGGGUAAGUCGGGACCUAAUCCGAGGCGGAGACGCGUAGGAGAUGGACAACAGGUUGAAAUUCCUGUACUGGCUGAGGCCGUUUGAGCGAAGGAGUGACACAGGAAGGAAGGCGCGCGUGCGAAUGGAAGAGCACGUCCAAGCAGGUAGGUCGGGAGACAGGCAAAUCCGUUUCCCGUAAGGCCGAGAUGCGAUGGGGAGCUUCUGGAGACAGAAGCGAAGGGGCUGGCACUAAACUGUCGAGAAAAGCUUCUAGUGAGGACUCAGGCACCCGUACCGAAACCGACACAGGUAGGCAGGAUGAGAAUUCUAAGGUGCGCGGGAAAACCCUCGUUAAGGAACUCGGCAAAAUAUAUCCGUAACUUCGGGAAAAGGAUAACCCAGCGUACGUGAAGUGCAGAAGCGCAUGGAGCGGAGAUGGGUGGCAGAAGAGAGGCCCAAGCGACUGUUUACCACAAACACAGGCGUCUGCUAAAGCGAAAGCUGAUGUAUAGAUGCUGACACCUGCCCGGUGCUGGAAGGUUAAGAGGAAGUGUUAGCGUAAGCGAAGCAGUGAAUUGAAGCCCCAGUAAACGGCGGCCGUAACUAUAACGGUCCUAAGGUAGCGAAAUUCCUUGUCGGGUAAGUUCCGACCCGCACGAAAGGUGUAACGAUUUGGGCACUGUCUCAACGAGGGACCCGGUGAAAUUGAAGUACCUGUGAAGAUGCAGGUUACCCGCGACUGGACAGAAAGACCCCAUGGAGCUUUACUGUAACCUGAGAUUGGAUUCCGGUAAGAGAUGUACAGGAUAGUUGGGAGGCUGAGAAGUGAGUACGCCAGUAUUCACGGAGCCGGUGGUGGGAUACCAACCUUGUUUUAUUGGAAUUCUAACGAGAAGCGUAACGAGCUUGCGGACAGUCUCAGGCGGGCAGUUUGACUGGGGCGGUCGCCUCCGAAAGAGUAACGGAGGCGCCCAAAGGUUCCCUCAGCGCGGACGGAAACCGCGCGAAGAGUGCAAAGGCAGAAGGGAGCUUGACUGCGAGACGGACAGGUCGAGCAGGGACGAAAGUCGGGCUUAGUGAUCCGGUGGUAGAGAGUGGAAUUGCCAUCGCUCAACGGAUAAAAGCUACCCUGGGGAUAACAGGCUUAUCUCUCCCAAGAGUCCAUAUCGACGGGGAGGUUUGGCACCUCGAUGUCGGCUCAUCACAUCCUGGGGCUGAAGUAGGUCCCAAGGGUUGGGCUGUUCGCCCAUUAAAGUGGUACGCGAGCUGGGUUCA
rnacentral:rRNA from 1 species